UACGAAGGGGGCUAGCGUUGUUCGGAUUUACUGGGCGUAAAGCGCACGUAGGCGGAUCGUUAAGUCGGGGGUGAAAUCCUGGAGCUCAACUCCAGAACUGCCUUCGAUACUGGCGAUCUUGAGUCCGGAAGAGGUGAGUGGAACUCCGAGUGUAGAGGUGAAAUUCGUAGAUAUUCGGAGGAACACCAGUGGCGAAGGCGGCUCACUGGCUCGGUACUGACGCUGAGGUGCGAAAGCGUGGGGAGCAAACGGG
rnacentral:rRNA from 1 species